CGCGGGGGCAGCCAGCCAAGGACGGGGACAGCCAGCCAAGGACGAGGGCGAGCCAGCCGAGGACGAAGGAGUGCCACGGGCACAAUCUUCACACUUUUUUUUUAUGGUCAGUCUGAUAAAGAGAUAGACAUUUUGGCCAAGGAGUUCCAGAAGUUGAUGCAGGAUUCGGAAGCGCCCGCCGAGGAUGACAAUUCCCGUGUCCUAAGGAGCGGGUCAACUCAUGACAGAGUUCCUCCUCCUCCUCCUUCUUCUCUCCCGCAUGAUAACAAAGGAAAUGUUGUCCCUCACCUUCUACUUCCUUCUGCGCUCCGUUCUGGCUGCAGACCCUGCGCACCUCAAGCCGGGGGCCCUCUCUGCUCAUUUGGGCCGGGUUUCUCUGGUCGAGGAUGUCCUGUGGGUCCAGUACCCGUUUACUGCUCUGGUGGAAAUACCAGGCACACUGAGGACAAUAACGGAACAAGUGACUGGGGUUGUGUUGCAGAUGGAUAUCAAUGCUCCUGAAGACGGUCUCCUGCGUCUGAUGCAUGACCGCAUAAAGUACUUGAAUGAUACUCUAACCCUGGCUUUGGAGAACUACGCAGCUCUUUCGUUUCCUAACCGUACUAAACGGGGCUUGAUUGAUGGGAUUGGGCAACUUUCCUGCAUGUUGUUUGGAACCGCAAUGGAUGAGGAUGUGGAGGAACUGCGGGAUAGGUAUAACCGUUUGGCUUCACUUGCUGCUACUCAACACAAAACCAUUAGGAUGAAUUCCUUCCACAUUUCCAGACUUGAGCAUGCAGUACAGGAUA